CAGAAGAUAGUUUAGUUAGAAUACUAGCUUUGGGAGUUAGUGGGGGAAGUUAGAGUCUUCCUUUUCUGG
rnacentral:tRNA from 2 species